UGAGGAAUAUUGGUCAAUGGGCGCAAGCCUGAACCAGCCAUGCCGCGUGCAGGAUUAAGGCCCUAUGGGUUGUAAACUGCUUUUGUACGGGAAGAAACAGUGCUUCGUGAAGCACCUUGACGGUACCGUAAGAAUAAGGAUCGGCUAACUCCGUG
rnacentral:rRNA from 1 species